rnacentral:rRNA from 1 species
GGCUCAGCCGAACGGCGAGGCCGAUGGCAGAACCGGUUAAUAUUCCGGUACUACCCUUUGGGGUGACGUGGAGACGCAGUCGUGACAAUGCCGCCAGCUGACGGAAUAGCUGGUUAAAGGGUGUAGAAGUUGAUUGUGGCAGGCAAAUCCACCACAAGAUUCGAACCUGACAGUAUGGAGCGUCCUUCCGGACAAUCCAACAGUGCAUGUAAUCAUACUGCCAAGAAAAUCCGCUAAACAUAACCUUCAGGGUACCCGUACCGCAAACGGACACACGUAGUCGGGUUGAAUAUACUAAGGCGCUUGAGUGAUUCACGGUUAAGGAACUAGGCAAAUUAACCCUGUAACUUCGGGAAAAAGGGUCCCUACCCGUUAUCGGGAGGGCGCAGAGAAUCGGUCCAGGCAACUGUUUAACAAAAACACAGGGCUGUGCGAAGUCGAAAGACGCUGUAUACAGCCUGACACCUGCCCGGUGCUGGAAGGUUAAGAGGAGAUGUCAUCGCAAGAGAAGCAUUGAAUUGAAGCCCCAGUAAACGGCGGCCGUAACUAUAACGGUCCUAAGGUAGCGAAAUUCCUUGUCGGGUAAGUUCCGACCUGCACGAAUGGUGUAAUGAUCUGGACGCUGUCUCAACCGUGAGCUCAGUGAAAUUGUAGUAUCGGUGAAGAUGCCGAUUACCCGCGAUGGGACGAAAAGACCCCGUGAACCUUUACUAUAGCUUAUCAUUGAAUUUGGGCACGUGAUGUGUAGGAUAGGUCGGAGGCUUUGAAGCAGGCACGCCAGUGUUUGUGGAGCCGCUGUUGAAAUACGACCCUUCAUUUGUUUGAGUUCUAACCCGUUGUCACGGGGACACUGAUUGGUGGGUAGUUUGACUGGGGUGGUCGCCUCCAAAAGUGUAACGGAGGCUUCUAAAGGUGCCCUCAGACCGAUUGGUAACCGGUCUCAGAGUGUAAUGGCAUAAGGGCGCUUGACUGGGAGACUAACAAGUCGAGCAGGUAGGAAACUAGAGCAUAGUGAUCCGGUGUUUCCGCAUGGAAGGGACAUCGCUCAAAGGAUAAAAGGUACUCCGGGGAUAACAGGCUGAUC